rnacentral:rRNA from 1 species
CUUGCUUUCCUUGCCGGCGACCGGCGCACGGGUGAGUAACACGUAUGCAACCUGCCCUCUUCAGGGGGAAACCCCGUCUAAUACCGCGUAACGCGGCCUAGGGACAUCCCAAGGCCGCCAAAGGGAGCAAUCCCGGCCACGGAUGGGCAUGCGGCGCAUUAGCUAGUCGGCGGGGUAACGGCCCACCGAGGCGACGAUGCGUAGGGGUUCUGAGAGGAAGGCCCCCCACACUGGUACUGAGACACGGACCAGACUCCUACGGGAGGCAGCAG